AUAAUAUUUUGCUCUGUAAUGGGAUGGGAUCCGAAGCCCCAUUGAGGGAUAAUACAGGCUCUCCCAUCCAACUCCUAUUCCGACACGUCCUCGUCGUGCAGAGUGGUAACAUGUGUCACCACAUAUCCAAGCUUNNNNNN
rnacentral:ribozyme from 1 species